UAAGUCCCGCCUUCCCACCCCCCCGUUUCUGUUGGCGCCAAAGAGUGGCGCCGUCGGCCAUUAUGAAAAAAUGUGUGUGUGUGUGUAUGUGUUUGACUAGGGGAAGUGUUGUGUAUGUUGGUGCUUGGGUAAAUGGAGAGAAAAAGGUGUAUUAAAUAUCAGGGUGGGUUAAGAAAAAAGUUAAAUAAUAUUGAAAACUAGGUUUAUAAAGAGAAUUUACUAAGGGAAAACCUAUUUUGUAAGCACAGGAUAAAAAAGCAUUGAAACUAUUCCAUACCAAUGUAGGUUAAGAAAAAAGCAUUUAAAAACAUUAAAAACUAGGUUUAAAAAGGGAAUUUACUACGGCAGAGCCUGUUUGGUAAGCACAGAGUAAAAAAAGUGAAUAAAAAAGCAUUGAAACUAUUCAACAGCAGUGUAGGUUAAAAAAAAAAGAGAGCCCCCUUUGCAAAGGGCAAAGAUAGACAGCACAUGGUGGAAUCAAA